ensembl:misc_RNA 7SK 7SK RNA
GGAUGUGAGGGUGAUCUGGUUGUGACAUCUGUCACCCCAUUGAUUGCCAGGGUUGAUUCGGCUGAUCUAGGCGGGUGUCCCCUUUUUCCGUCACUGCUCCAUGUGCGUCCCUCCCGAAGCUGCGUGCUUGGUCGAAGAGGAUGACCGUCCCCGACAGAGGAGGACCAGUCUUCGGUCAAGGGUAUAUGAGUAUCUGCACUUCCCUGUGAGAACCUCCAAACAGGCUCUCAAGGAAAGAUUCUUUUGCAGGCUGAUUCUUCUAUUUUUCAUUUUGCUUAGACCAAGUUAGAGAUUGUAAGAUAAGCUGGUAACUUACUAUAGUGUUUGUUUAUAG